rnacentral:rRNA from 1 species
UGGGGAAUCUUGGGCAAUGGCCGAAAGGCUGACCCAGCGACUCCGCGUGGAGGAAGACGCCUUAAGGGGUGUAAACUUCUUUUCUGGGAGAAGACGACUGACGGUAUCCCAGGAAUAAGGGACGGCUAACUACGUGCCAGCAGCCGCGGUAAUACGUAGGUCCCAAGCGUUAUCCGGAAUCACUGGGCGUAAAGUGUCCGUAGCCGGUUAUGUAAGUCUGCUUUCAAAGGCCUUAGCUCAACUAAGGUAUGGGAGUGGAUACUGCAUAACUAGAGGUAGUUAGAGGCCAAUGGAAUUCUCGGUGGAGGGGUGAAAUCCGUUGAUAUCGGGAAGAAUGCCGAAAGCGAAAGCAGUUGGCUAUAACUAACCUGACGGUCAGGGACGAAAGCUUGGGUAGCAAACA